rnacentral:lncRNA from 1 species
AUAGGCUCAAGCUGGAUAGCCUUCAAUCCGUCACUUUUCCUUCAAGAUUGAUUGAGAAGAGGUGACCCCUUGACCUUCUUUAUUUCUUUUCACCAUUAAUUCUUCUGAAAUUUGCCCCAAAAAAUUGAAAUUUCAAAAGGCUUCUCCAAGAAGCCGUUGCAACCUACAAUUUUGUCUAUAAAAAGAGGUCUUGUUCACCCUUUCUAAGACAGGGUUAAGAGAUAGAGAAUUUUUUGAGUUUUUGGCAUACUAUCCCAUUCACUGAGUUCUCUGUUUUCUUUACUUUACUUUUCUUCGUGUAUUUGUUAAUACUCCCUUUACUCCUAUCUUUAUCACUCACCUCCCGAAGUUGUGUGGAAAUUGACCGUCGUCUACUCGUCGUCUAGGUUCGCUGCUUCGAAAAAGGUAACACUCCUCUUACUUCAUCUAAUUCUGGUAUGCAUUUGCUAUCCACUUUUAUGAGUUAAAGUGAAUUUUGGUGUGCCUAUUAGCUUUACAAUAUUUUACGUUUACUGGCGAUCUUUUGUUCAUUAUGUGUAGAUUAUGAUUCAAUAGAGGAAAAAAACUUGAAUUUUUAUAAUGGAAAAGACGUGUACUUAUUUCUUGUGAAAAUCCCAUUCAAAUAAUCUAGUGGUUUUUCCUGUUAUAGCACGAAGCAGGGAUUUUAUUUUUUUGUGUUCAUACUUGACUACGUUUUCUCCUUAUGUGUUUAAGUCGCCUUUUUUUAAAUUUUUUUUGUCUUUUCUUUGUUCUUUUUUUUUGGAAUAUAAAUAUUUUUUUAGUGACCGUCUGUUGAGCUUAUGCAUCAUUUUACCUUGUUAAGAUCGACAUUUUCUUUUCAUGUAUAUCACGUAAUGUGUAGUUAAUCUUACUAGAUUCGAAUAAUUUAUGAAGAUCAGCACAUUACUAAGAGUGCAAUUUAAGAUGAAUCUGCUCCCCGCUGAGUCAUAACACUAAUGUAUCUUUUGGCUUGAGUGGCAUUGUUGAUGAAUCUGAUUAAAGAAAGCAUGAUGUGGGAUUCAAUCAAUGAUUUAGUAGAAUAUUCGAUCUUUCCAGUUAAAUGCUUAGAGGACUUGUGUCUUAACUAUUGCCUGAUGAAUGUCAAAAAUGGUAACCAUUCAAGACGUAAUUAUUUGUCCAUCUUUCUGCCUAAUCUAAGGUCCAUUUGAUGUUGUGUAUCUCUUACUGAGAGAAUAAGUUAGUUCAAGUCUUAAUUUGCCUUUAGAAUUAAUUAGCCAUUUAGUGAUCUCAUAGCUUUAAAAAAAUAAAUAUCUACGGUGGAGAUUUUUCUGUCUUUUCACUUCAGACUCUCUUUAAAGAACAUUCACCCCUCUAACUAAUUCUCUUGUUCACUGGCUGUAAAAAAUAAAAGGAGGCUGUGUUUCUCGAGUUUCGUUUCAUUCCUAUGAAUGUGUUGCCGUUUAUUUAAUCAUUCUCCUCUUUACUCGAUUGUAUAUUAAUCCGCAUUUUCUUUUUAUUGGAUGAACUCUCCUUAUGAGUCCCCCGGACUCUCAUUUUUCGCAUUCGGUUGGGUUAACCCCAACUUCCAUCGAGUCAAGAUCCAUGUCAAGUCCGAAAAGGGACUAAUAUGCAAGAAACAAAGGCUGAUAUACAUUGAUAUACUCUGAUAUACGAGUGGUAUACACUGGAAGCAGCAGUUGCACACUUAUCACACGACUUAUGAUGAAAAAUGGAGCCAAAAUAAGCAGGUUUUCAUGCUGAUAUGCACUGCAUACACAGUGAUAUACAGAAAACGUAGGGAAAAGAGCUGCUCAUAUACAACGGAUAUACAGGGGUGAAAAUGGGCUGAAAGUCCAUGGAAUUAGUCCAAGAGCUGGACAGGCCCAAAGGGGCCCAAUUUUAACUUCUCUAUUUAUUAUUCAUUCUAAUUUGUUUAUUUGUAUUUACUUGAACAUUUUAAUCAAUUAAUUUAGAUAAAUUCCUGUUGCCAUUUUUCUUUAUCUUCAUUUCUUUUCCUUUCUUUCACUUAUUCGAAUUUCCUUAUGCACUUCAUCUUGUUUUAAAAAGUGAAAAAACUACUCUAUGUUAAUCUUUUUUUUUGGAAACAAGCCUUUCACAUUAAGGUGACUUUUUUCUUGUUCAUGUAGUAAUUAGUGUCCUUUAGGCUAAAUAGAAUUUUCUUAAACAUAAAAAGAAAUAGUUUUUUGUCUUCAUGAAUUGGUUAUCUAAAAAAAUAGAAUAUUGAAUGAAAUAAAAGCUAUUUUCAAAAAUUGCUCGAUUCAAGUUUGAUAUUUCAUAAAAAAAAAAAAAGUUAAUAUUUUCAUAAAGUUAGCCACCCUUUUAAGUUAGUCAAAAUAUUUUGAUAAACUAUUUUAAAACGGACGUUCCUAAGUGCCUUAAAAUCCUUUUUAGGAGGUUAAUUGAACCCUUACCCAUUUUCCUUUUUAAAGGUUUAUUUCUAUUUUUGAACCUUUAGAAUUCUUUUAAGUUUUCUUGAUUUUUUUAUAAAAAUUAAGUGGCAGAUCUGUAAUUUUUCUCGAGUUAUUUUGAAAUUUUCCUAAGUUUUAAAAUGAUUUGAGAAUUCAAAAAUUAUUUUCUUAUAAAUAAAUUGUCUUUUCUUUGGUAAAUUCGAAGAGGGAUAAAAUAUCAACUUUUGUUGACUUUUCUAGGUGAGCAAUUGAAGUUUGAUCGUAAAGAAAAGACAUUACUUUAAACAUUAAUCCUACGUACUAGGAAAGAUGUUUCCUUAUUUAUUUUAUUUAAAUUCUUUAAGUUUUAUUCAAAAUUCGAGCAAAGACAAUGUGUUUGUUUGGAACUCCGAAAGAGUUUAAAAAUAGAUCAUCAGAAUUGGUUUAAUUUUCUGGUAUUUUUAUAAUACUUUGAAGUAGGGGUGACAAAUUUGCCCCAAGCCUAAAUAACCUGCAAUCAGUCUAGAUUAUAAUGGGUUGGGCAUGACCCAUUCUUAAGGUGGGCUAGAUUUGGGUAAACCCAACUUAACUUAUUUAUUUUGACAACCCAAAAUAAGCUCAUAAAUUUAGCCCAAAUUGACGCAUCCCAAAUUAAAAUGGUUGCCCUGAUUUCUCUGAGAUAUUCUAGGAAGUGCAAGUCUCGACUUUCAACUCCAAGUCAUUGUUUCUCUUUGAAUUCUUCAACAAGUUCCUUAUCAUUUACAAAUUUAUUGUAUGUUUACAUUUAUUUUCAUUUCUUUCCUCCCUCUCUAUGCUUGUUAAAAAUCAUGGUGAAGAAUUUUAAUAUUACUCAUAAUUUGAUUUUUUGUUGAAGGCCAACUAUUUUUUUUUCGUUUUUCAACUUUACUUGUAAUUUCAUUUGGUAAUUAAUAUAAAAUUUUAACUUAUAUUUUGUUGUAACUUGAGAUUUUGAAUUUUAAAUCCUAAUAGUUUUGAAAUUAUUAGGCAGACUUGUUGCCUAUAAGGUGUUUUCUCAAUUGCCUUAAUGAGUCUCCUUUGUUGUGCACAGUAAUUUUGUACUCUAAUAAUGAUUGAGAGUUAUUUGCUUACAUUUUUGUUUCUUCCCUCUUUUUUGUUGAUUCAAGACUAAAGAUUAAUUUUUUUAACAUUCUACUAUAGCAGGUGAAAAUAUUGAUAGAGCCCGAUGAAGUCAAGUAUAAUGAAAUAAUUAUUGCAAGUUCAUCAAAAUAGUGUAGGACUACUUCUAAAUUUUGGGACUUCUAUGAUGAGCUGCCAUUGAAUUAUGAUCCUUAUAAUAGACUUCAGUCGGAAUAUAAGAAGCACAAGAAAGUGUUUAUGGCUGACUCAGUAGCAGGAGAUACAAAUUUAAAGCAUCACGUAGAAAAACACAAGGAUAAAGUAACAAGAUAAAGAUAUGUCUAUUGAUCAUAAAGAAUAUUGUGAAGUUAUUGCGAAAAGUGCUAGAAAAGUGCAUAUAUUCUUUUAUCCUGCCAUCAAAACCAUCUAAAAAAAAUAUCACAAAAGUUGAUGUGAUUAGAAUAUAUGAUAACAAAAAGGAGAUAGUCAAGAAUGAGCUUUAAGCUAUUCUAAAGAGAACUAGUGAUGACAUCUGUAUAUCUUUGUCUUAUUGCACACUAUGUUGAUUUGGAUUAGACUUUACAAAAGAAAGUUCUCAUUUUUCGUCUUAUGCCUCCUCCUUAUAGCGGUGUUGUUUUGGGUUCAAAGUUGAUUCAUCUAUUGAAGAAAUGAAAAAUUGAGAAGAAAAUAUUUUCAAUAACUUUAGAUAAUAAUGAAGGUGU